ACGCGAGCCACGGAGAUGGCGUCCGGCGCAGCGCCUGGGCUGCCUCCUGCACGUCUCCCGCCACGGCAAACACUAUGCCGAUUGGAGCGUGAUGCGUAAACCAUUGGCCAAGGACAGGCUUACCAAUGGCAAGGCUGAUUGCGUCCAAGACCAGGACUGGAUGCUUGUUGGUCAGCUUCGGUGGGAUAUCUUGUGCUGGCUGGUCUCGACGGUGUGCUCGACGAGAUGUUACCGGUGACUGACCUCUGUCUUGCGCAUGUCACCGCGUGGCUGCGUGACCCCUCCUCUGUGCCAAAGGAGCUUACGGUGCCGGCGCCUAUUCUGGUGCCUACGCAGCCUGGCUCUGACGAGGACGCAC